AUACGGAGGAUGCAAGCGUUAUCCGGAUUUAUUGGGUUUAAAGGGUGCGUAGGCGGUUUGCUAAGCGGGAGGUGAAAUGCCGGCGCUCAACGUCGGAAGUGCCUCCCGAACUGGUGGACUGGAAUGACUCUGCCGUGGGAGGAAUGUGCAGUGUAGCGGUGAAAUGCUUAGAGAUUACACAGAACACCGAUUGCGAAGGCAUCUCACGAAGGGUUGAUUGACGCUGAGGCACGAAAGCGUGGGGAUCAAACAGGAUUAGAUACCCUGGUAGUCCACGCAGUAAACGAUGAUGGCUAACCGCUGGUUUAUUCGGAUCAGUGGCCAAGCGAAAGCGAUAAGCCAUCCACCUGGGGAGUACGACCGCAAGGUUGAAACUCAAAGGAAUUGACGGGG
rnacentral:rRNA from 1 species